rnacentral:sRNA from 1 species
GAUGCCCUCCUUGCCCACGUUGAUCUUCAUAGCCAUCUUUUGCCUGGAGUCAUUGGCUGCAAUGCUGCAGAAUGGCUUCUUGGUCACAAUGCUGGGCAGGGAGUGGGUAAGGUGCCGGAUGCUGUCCACAAGUGACAUGAUUGUGGCCUGUCUCGCUGCCUCCCGUUUCUGCCUGCAUGGGGUAGCCAUGGCGAACAACCUCCUGGCCUCCCUAGAUUUUUCGCGUGCAGUUCCCUAUAUGAACAUCUUCUGGGACCUUUUCAAUGCCCUCACUUUGUGGUAUACUGCCUUGCUUGCUGCUUUCUACUGUGUGAAGAUCUCAUCUUUCUCCCACCCCACCUUCGCCUGGCUGAAGUGGAGGAUCUCUCGGUUAGUGCCCAAGCUGAUCAAGGGCUCCCUGAUCAUCUGUGGCCUGGAAGUCAUCUCAUCAGCCACUGGGAACAUCCUGUUCGGUCAGAGGAAGGUCUCCCUGAGUUCCUACAGAAACGAAACUCUAGUUUAUAGAGUGCAGGCUUCAUUUCAGCUCUACUUUUUCCUUUAUGACGGGUUUGUGUGGUCGAUUCCGUUCCUCCUGUUCCUAGUGUCCACCGUCUUGCUCAUAGUCUCACUGUGCUGGCAGUUGGGGCAGAUGAGGGACCUCAGGCCCGGCCCCUGUGAUCCCAGCACCCAGGCUUACACGAUGGCUUUAAAGUCACUCACCUUUUCCCUCAUCUUCUGUACAUUGUACUUCCUGUCCUUGUUUGCUUCUGCUUUGAAAAUCAUAAACUUUCAGAAUCACUGGCACUGGGCCUGGGAAGUGCUAAUCUAUGCCAACAUCUGUCUGCACUCUACCGUCCUGGUGCUGAGGAGCCCCAAACUGAAAAAGGGCCUGAAGACAUGGCCUCAGCUCCAGUGCCCAUGUGAUGCUGGCUCACAGGGCUUUGGAAGGUGCUGGCCAUAG